GAUGAACGCUGGCGGCGUGCUUAACACAUGCAAGUCGAACGGGAUCCAUCAGGCUUUGCUUGGUGGUGAGAGUGGCGAACGGGUGAGUAAUGCGUGACCGACCUGCCCUAUACACCGGAAUAGCUCCUGGAAACGGGUGGUAAUGCCGGAUGCUCCGACUCCUCGCAUGGGGUGUCGGGAAAGAUUUCAUCGGUAUGGGAUGGGGUCGCGUCCUAUCAGGUAGUCGGCGGGGUAACGGCCCACCGAGCCUACGACGGGUAGCCGGCCUGAGAGGGCGACCGGCCACAUUGGGACUGAGAUACGGCCCAGACUCCUACGGGAGGCAGCAGUGGGGAAUAUUGCACAAUGGGCGCAAGCCUGAUGCAGCGACGCCGCGUGCGGGAUGACGGCCUUCGGGUUGUAAACCGCUUUUGAUCGGGAGCAAGCCUUCGGGUGAGU
rnacentral:rRNA from 1 species